ACUUGCUUUGUCUCUUGCAUGCCUUGAGUGUAGGACCGUUGGCAUCUCUGUUACCCUCCCACACCCAAGGCUUGCAGGGAGGUCGAGCUUUCUC
rnacentral:pre_miRNA from 1 species